AAUCCUGUUACACCUGGGAUUUAGGCGCUUUUAAUCUGAAAAAAAUACAUAUUCCUUGAGCACUCCAGAAGGAUUUAAGAACCACCCUUCCCUGAACUAAAGCUGGAUGUUGUGGGAUUGCAGAAUUAAG
rnacentral:lncRNA from 1 species